rnacentral:rRNA from 1 species
CAGCAGCCGCGGUAAUACGUAGGUCCCGAGCGUUGUCCGGAUUCAUUGGGCGUAAAGCGAGCGCAGGCGGUUAGAUAAGUCUGAAGUUAAAGGCUGUGGCUUAACCAUAGUACGCUUUGGAAACCGUUUAACUUGAGUGCAAGAGGGGAGAGUGGAAUUCCAUGUGUAGCGGUGAAAUGCGUAGAUAUAUGGAGGAACACCGGUGGCGAAAGCGGCUCUCUGGCUUGUAACUGACGCUGAGGCUCGAAAGCGUGGGGAGCAAACAGGAUUAGAUACCCGCGUAGUCCCUGUCUCUUAUACA